GACGAACGCUGGCGGCGUGCUUAACACAUGCAAGUCGAACGGUAAGGCCCUUCGGGGUACACGAGUGGCGAACGGGUGAGUAACACGUGGGUGAUCUGCCCUGCACUUCGGGAUAAGCCUGGGAAACUGGGUCUAAUACCGGAUAGGACUCCUGGCUUCAUGGUUGGGGGUGGUAAGCUUUUGCGGUGGGGGAUGGGCCCGCGGCCUAUCAGCUUGUUGGUGGGGGAAUGGCCUACCAAGGCGACGACGGGUAGCCGGCCUGAGAGGGUUACCGGUCACACUGGGACUGAGAGACGGCCCAGACUCGUACGGGAGGCAGCAGUGGGGAAUGUUGCACAAGGGGCGCAAGCCUGAUGCAGCGACGCCGCGUGAGGGAUGACGGCCUUCGGGUUGUAAACCUCUUUCAGCUAUGACGAAGCGCAAGUGACGGUAGUAGCAGAAGAAGGACCGGCCAACUACGUGCCAGCCGCCGCCGUAA
rnacentral:rRNA from 1 species